AGCAGCCGCGGUAAUUCCAGCUCCAAUAGCGUAUAUUAAAGUUGUUGCAGUUAAAAAGCUCGUAGUUGAAUUUCGGGGUUAGUAGGUUGGUCAUGCCUCUGGUAUGUACUGGUCUCACUGAUUCCUCCUUCCUGAUGAACCUUAAUGCCAUUAAUUUGGUGUUUUGGGGAAUUUGGACUGUUACUUUGAAAAAAUUAGAGUGUUUAAAGCAAGCUAACGCUUGAAUACAUUAGCAUGGAAUAAUGAGAUAGGACGUUCGAUCCUAUUUUGUUGGUUUCUAGGAUUGACGUAAUGAUUAAUAGGGAUAGUUGGGGGCGAUUAGUAUUCAAUUGUCAGAGGUGAAAUUCUUGGAUUUAUUGAAGACUAACUACUGCGAAAGCAUUUGCCAAGGAUGUUUUCAUUAAUCAAGAACGAAAGUUAGGGGAUCGAAGAUGAUCAGAUACCGUCGUA
rnacentral:rRNA from 1 species